rnacentral:rRNA from 1 species
GACGAACGCUGGCGGCGUGCUUAACACAUGCAAGUCGAACGGAAAGGCCUUUUCGGAGGUACUCGAGUGGCGAACGGGUGAGUAACACGUGGGUGAUCUGCCCUGCACUCUGGGAUAAGCCUGGGAAACUGGGUCUAAUACCGGAUAGGACCGCACUUUAGUGUGUGUGGUGGAAAGUUUUUUCGGUGUAGGGUGAGCCCGCGGCCUAUCAGCUUGUUGGUGGGGUAAUGGCCUACCAAGGCGGCGACGGGUAGCCGGACUGAGAGGUUGGGCGGCCACAUUGGGACUGAGAUACGGCCCAGACGCCUACGGGAGGCAGCAGUGGGGAAUAUUGCACAAUGGGCGCAAGCCUGAUGCAGCGGCGCCGCGUGGGGGAUGACGGCCUUCGGGUUGUAAACUCCUUUCGCCAGGGACGAAGCGUUUUGUGACGGUACCUGGAGAAGAAGCACCGGCUAACUACGUG